GAUGAACUCUGGCGGCGUGCCUAAUACAUGCAAGUAGCGCGUACAGACGAGGAGCUUGCUCCUCUGACGUUAGCGGCGGACGGGUGAGUAACACGUGGAUAACCUACCUAUAAGACUGGGAUCACUUCGGGAAACCGGAGCUAAUACCGGAUAAUAUAUUGAACCGCAUGGUUCAAUAGUGACAGACGGUUUUGCUGUCACUUAUAGAUGGAUCCGCGCCGCAUUAGCUAGUUGGUAAGGUAACGGCUUACCAAGGCAACGAUGCGUAGCCGACCUGAGAGGGUGAUCGGCCACACUGGAACUGAGACACGGUCCAGACUCCUACGGGAGGCAGCAGUAGGGAAUCUUCCGCAAUGGGCGAAAGCCUGACGGAGCAACGCCGCGUGAGUGAUGAAGGUCUUCGGAUCGUAAAACUCUGUUAUUAGGGAAGAACAAAUGUGUAAGUAACUAUGCACGUCUUGACGGUACCUAAUCAGAAAGCCACGGCUAACUACGUG
rnacentral:rRNA from 1 species